UCUGCCUACAAAGGUGUGUGUAUGGUUCCAUGUCUUUGGAUAAAUGAGAAAUAUGGAAUUGGAGAAAUCUUAGGCCAGCUUGCUCCCUGCAGGCUAAAGAUCCACCUUUCCACAAAA
rfam:Erinaceus europaeus unplaced genomic scaffold scaffold00024, whole genome shotgun sequence